GGUUCUAUGGUAUAGUGGUUGGCACUCUGGACUUUGAAUCCAGCGACCUGGGUUCAACUCCUAGUAGGACCU
rfam:Nelumbo nucifera unplaced genomic scaffold scaffold00840, whole genome shotgun sequence